UUUAAACUGGCCCGAAGCAUUGUGUCAUAAAAUCAAUAACAAGCCACAGAAAUGAAACUCGUCCUAACGGGAACGCACACGUGAGCCAACGCUCAUGAUCGUUUGCGAGCAUGUCUCCUCCGUCCCUUCCCAGCUCACGCGCACACAAGUGUCCGUUUGCAAGAUAAUCAGUGACACAGACACUUCCUCAUUCAAAUGUCCACACACCAAGGACUAAGGCAAUGCUAAAAUCAGAGACACUGCAAGUGACGCUGCACAGGGAA